GGUGCCUGAAGCCUGGCUUUGCCGAACACCCUGCUGCCUGCCACUCUCUAACUUGUAAACAACUGGGCUAGAAAUAUGCUGCUCAACUGGGGUUCAUAACGGUGGAGAAUUUCUGUACCUAUUGCAGACCAGACCAUAGAAUCUUCCAGGUGCAACGAGAUCUGAAUUUCAAAGCAGGGCUGUGCAACCCUAUCUGAAUCCACUGGCAUUUCCGAAGGCAGCAUGGCAACAAGGGAGAGACGCAAGACACAUUCCUACCAGGACCAAGAUAGCUUUUUCCCAUAACUCUCGGGCAGUGGGAACAUAGCAGCUUUGCAGAGUGGUGCUGUGUCUAAAGUUAAAAUAACCGGAGGGACAGAGCAGGGCUGUUCAAUGGGAUAAUUGUAAUUGGUGCUUUUACUCCAAAUUAAGAGGGUGGGGGAAGAAACCUUUUGGCGCGUUUCCAAAAUGCUUAAAUGAGCCACUUUGAUAUUUCUUGGCUUCUUAUGUUUGACAGGAAUAAAGUGUUCGGCCGAGUCCAGCUUGUAAAUA